UGGUUCAUGACUGGGGUGAAGUCGUAACAAGGUAGCGCUAGGGGAACCUGGCGCUGGAUCACCUCCUUAAACGAUGAU
rnacentral:rRNA from 2 species